GACAGAGGGUGCAAACGUUGCUCGGAAUUACUGGGCGUAAAGAGCGCGCAGGCGGUCGUUCAAGUCGCGUGUGAAAGCCCCCGGCUCAACUGGGGAGGGUCACGCGAUACUGAUCGACUCGAAGGCAGGAGAGGGAAGUGGAAUUCCCGGUGUAGUGGUGAAAUGCGCAGAUAUCAGGAGGAACACCGGUGGCGAAGGCGGGUCUCUGGGCCGAUACUGACGCUGAGGAGCGAAAGCGUGGGGAGCGAACAGG
rnacentral:rRNA from 1 species